rnacentral:rRNA from 1 species
GAUGAACGCUGGCGGCGUGCCUAAUACAUGCAAGUCGAGCGAACAGACGAGGAGCUUGUUCCUCUGACGUUAGCGGCGGACGGGUGAGUAACACGUGGAUAACCUACCUAUAAGACUGGGAUAACUUCGGGAAACCGGAGCUAAUACCGGAUAAUAUAUUGAACCGCAUGGUUCAAUAGUGAAAGACGGUUUUGCUGUCACUUAUAGAUGGAUCCGCGCCGCAUUAGCUAGUUGGUAAGGUAACGGCUUACCAAGGCGACGAUGCGUAGCCGACCUGAGAGGGUGAUCGGCCACACUGGAACUGAGACACGGUCCAGACUCCUACGGGAGGCAGCAGUAGGGAAUCUUCCGCAAUGGGCGAAAGCCUGACGGAGCAACGCCGCGUGAGUGAUGAAGGUCUUCGGAUCGUAAAACUCUGUUAUUAGGGAAGAACAAAUGUGUAAGUAACUGUGCACGUCUUGACGGUACCUAAUCAGAAAGCCCCGGCUAACUACGUG